UGGGUNCUUAGAUCUGAACUCUAUUCCUCUG
rnacentral:piRNA from 1 species